rnacentral:lncRNA from 1 species
AUGAACUUGAACCAACUUCUUUGUGCCCCAGGCACGUCAUCAUUAAAAUAAAGUGGAAAAACUAAAUGAUCUUUGAGACCUCUUCUGGCUUGAACAUGAGACGACUGUAUAUAAAGAACUCCAUAUACCAAAGUUUCUCAUGUUGGAUAAUGCUAAAAUUGGACCUACUCCCUUAGUAGUUCUGGGUUAUAUGUGUUGCAUGAAGAAUAAGAUAUCAUAAGAGAUUCCCAUCCUUUGCAAAUGAUACUCCUUGAAAUUCCAGUGGACUUCCAGGCAAGAGUUGCAUAAAUAAUGUUACAUUUUAAUCUAGUUCAGAUGAACUCUACAGUGUUGUAGCCUACAUGUGGUCCAUGGACCACGGGUUUGACAUUUCUGUUAGAGAAGAACCUUUUGAAUUGACAUCCCAUGGCUUGGGCAUUGCAAGGAAUAAUGAACUGGAAGAAUUCUGUGUGAACUGGAAGGACCUCCAGGAACUGAUGCAGAGUGAAAGGAGCAGAACCAGGAGAAUAUUGUACACAGAGACUGAUACACUGUGGUUCAAUCGAAUGUAAUGGACUUCUCCAUUAGUGGCAAUGCAGUGAUCCUGAACAACUUGGAGGGAUCUACGAGAAAGAACACUAUCCACAUUCAGAGGAAAAACUGUGGGAGUAGAAACAACUGCUUGAUUACAUGGGUCAAGGGGAUAUGAUUGGGGAUGUAGACUCUAAAUGAACAUCCUAGUGCAAACAUCAACAACAUCGAAAUAGGUUCUGAUCAAAGGCACAUGUAAAACCCAGUGGAACUGCACGUCAGCUAUAGGAAGGUUUGGGAGAGGGAAGGGAAGGAAAGAAUAUGAUUCUUGUAACCAAGGAAUAGUAUUCUAAAUUGAUUUAAUAAAUAAAUAAAUUUUUAAAAAGAGAGAAAAAAU